rnacentral:rRNA from 1 species
CGUGUAGGUGGCUAAUUAAGUCAGGUGUGAAAUCCUUCCGCUUAACGGGAGAAGUGCACUUGAAACUGCUUAGCUAGAGUACGGGAGAGGAAGGUGGAGUUCCUGGUGUAGAGGUGAAAUUCAUAGAUAUCGGGAAGAACACCGGUGGCGAAGGCGGCCUUCUGGCCCGAUACUGACGCUGAGACGCGAAAGCGUGGGGAGCAAACAGGAUUAGAUACCCUGGUAGUCCACGCCGUAAACGUUGGGCACUAGGUGUGGGAGGUUUUUAUUCCUUCUUUGCCGAAGCUAACGCAUUAAGUGCCCCGCCUGGGGAGUACGGUCGCAAGGCUAAA